UUCCUCUUUUACUGCUUUAGUGUGAGAAAAGAUCAUUCUGGCUGAAGGCUACACCAUGAAAGAGAGUUGCACUCUCCCCAGUUUUGCAGCCUAACAGUUAAAACUGAGUUAUAGGUUUUUUAAAUAAAACAGAUGCCACUAUAAGGUUGAAAACAGAAGCUGAUUUAGAUGCAUGCUUCCUCAGAUAACAAACUGCUCCUCUGUAGAUGUCUGUCUCUGGUACCUGAAGCUGGGACUCUCAGAAUGAAUCAUAUGCAUCGGAAACUUGGCAAGGUGAUGGACACAACACAUCCUGAGCUCCACUGUAAAAUGCAGUCCCUUCUGCCUUAGUUGCACUAAGGCAUUCACCUGAUCACAGCAGUGAAUAGCUCAGGGCCAUUUCCCACCUAUUGGACCCAAGGCUGGAGUCAUGCAGUGCCGUGCCACCCAGGACGCUCCACUUGCAGAGUAGACAGGAGAUCUGCCAGCUGUUAGCGCUCUGAAUUUGUGUGGUGCGUUGCACCAGAGACUGCACUGGCACAAACCUCAUGGCUGGUAAAGAUGUGGUGUGCAUGUGUGGUUUUGGAACCAUAAUGGGAGGCAGCAAAAUGAACUAGAGUCCUUCCCACUUGGCGUCAACUCCAGUUGGUUACGUCGAUGUGUCCACAGAGCAUUGAAAUCAGAGUGCUUGGAAGAAAUAAAAUGCACGACCCUAUGCCCAAUGAGAGCCUGUGUAUCAGAAGCACCUCUGCAGCUGUCUUGGAAAUAUCCCUUUUUUUUUUUUUCCUGGUGAGCACAGUAGAUCCAAGGAACAAUUCAGUGUAUUUGUGAACAAUCUGCAAGCAGAGAGGCGGUUCCAGAUUAUAGUGCUGAGGUGAGACCAGUCCUGGAACAGGGACAAUACCUUGGGAUACAGCACCCAACCAUACAGCAUGAAUAGCAAGUAGCAAAUGCCCUUAGCGACUGGCUUGUGGAAAAAAAUUAAUUUGCUAAAGAGCAUUGGUAUUAAGUCGCCUUGAAGAGUUGUAAAUCACAAAGGGAAACCUGCUCCUGCAGUCUGUGAACAGGGACAGACUAUUACAGUGGAUCAGACUAUUACUAGCUAGUAUGAACUUAAUAGGAAGAGCUCAGAAAAUAGUAGGCUCAUCCAGAGGCAAAGCUCCUGCUGAAGUUGGCAGAGGCAGGAUGGGACCCAACAGGCAGAUUUUCCACUGUAGAGGACAGCUGCCCAUUUCCUCCUCUCCAGCACUCCAGUUUUCAACCCAGGUCCAGCUGCCUCAGUUGGAACCUUGGCUCCCAGAGCUCCAGCCUCCCCAGGCAGUGGGACUGAGGGGUGGGAGCAGGGUGCCCAGCCCAGGCCCUGUCCCUGGCACGGAAGACGCUGUGGAUAGGUAAGCCAAGCCCAGAGCAGGACAAAGCUGCAAGUGCUCUCAGGAAGGCUCUCACCAGCUGGAGGAGGGGGCUGCCCAGUGUGGGAGCAAAGUCAGUCCCUUCUAUUGCUAAAACCAACCCGGACACAGGUGCUUUUUGCCCUGACUGAUUCAAACACUUGCACAGAGCAGGUUUUCUUUUCGCUAGCACACUACCACGUGGGAUUCGCAACAAGGAGGUAUGAGGGAUAACAGCCCAUCUCUCAUACUCGACAGAGCCUGCAGGCUUCUUUUGCUGCUUUCAAGUUUCCCCUGCAUUAAUCCCCACAAUAACACACAAUCACCAGGAAAACCUUGGGAAAUAGGGGGCAGGGGGAUGUGGAUACUUUUCAGAGAGAAAGGUAUAAAAGGAAGCAAAGAACAUCACAGUGGAAAAACAUAGGUUGUCUGCUAUUCCAUUUUUUUGUUGAAUGGUGCUGAGAAGAGAAAACGAUCUUUCUGUACCUGUCAGGAAAGGAAGAAACAUGUUCCACUUCUCUCUCAAAAAAAAAAAAAAAAAAAAAGUCCAGUGAAACAAAAGGGAUAUUAUUUCUCUGACUUAGAGAAGCAAAGCAGUCUUCAGGGGUCUGUGAAGGUUUGUGAAGGUGCCCUUGCAGUUAUUGUCCUAAACACUGAAGAAAGCUUGUUUCCCAAAUGUGAAGGGUGGCACAGAUGACUCCUUCAAGAUGCUUGUCAGUUCCUGGGUAUCUCCAGCCACCUAAACAUGCCUCCAGUGUCUCUCAUCUGCAGUUUUGGAAAGUUUUCUGUAGGUGUCCUGCUGAUAGUGCAGCUCUCUGAAGCUGCUCCCCCAUCUCUCUGAAGAUGUCAUUGAGCCUCACCAAUGCUGUUCCUGAUGUGGCUUGCUCUCACUGUAACUUCCAGAUGCUGACGCUGAAGGAAACCAGGGCUCCCUCUGAACAGACUUUUUGUCUUCUCUGCUUCACUGCACGAUCCUACAGUUAGCAGCCAAGAUAUACAGAAACAGACUUGUGGAGUGCAUAAACUUUGAUGCUCUUUAUUUCAGGUCUGGGAUCAUGGGCUAUUGUAUUCUAAAACAAAUGACAGCUCAGAUGACACAAACACAAGUUUCAGCUCACCUAACAAGUAUAUUUCUAGUUCAUCACUUUUCCUGAGCUCUUCUGCAUUAUGAUGCUUUUUUUUUUUUUGUACACUAAGCAUUUUCAUUCAGGCCAAAAUUAAUGUUUGAGUGUGUUUAGGGUGACCCUAUUCUGCAUUUUGUUUCAAGGAUAGCACAUCUAGGUAUGCUGAGGCAAGUCCAAAGAGCCUGCUAAUGCAUGAGCUGGAGUAAUGAGUGCAACAAAACUUAAGCCUGUGACUGAAUCCGUGUGGCAGGCAAGCAGGCGCUGGAUUGGAGCUGCCGGGUCAAUGUGCAGCAAUAAAUAUGUCAGGACACCCAAAUGGCUAUGUCUCCCCUGUGGGCUGUGGCACUGCACUUCAGCAAGUCCUGGUGCCCAGCCAUGGCCUGCCUUGGUUUUGUAGGCACUGAUAACAUGCACCAAGCACAAUACAGUCUGAUCUAAUAUAAUUUCACCCAAGGAAUCACUCAGGCUAGCGGCUGUAAAAGACAUAUAUUCAACAUCACCCUUUGAUAGUCAAUUCAUGUUCCCCAUCUAAGACAAUAUGGUUAAAACCAAACAACCAACCCAGCACAAAACACAAGUAGCUGCAGCAGAAUGUAUAUUUCAUUUUUACAUUAAAAACUACUUACAGUGAUAGAUGAUAGCACAGCACAAUCCAGAAACCAGCUGCCUAUAUUAUGCAUUAUAACAAUAUUUAUUUUAAUUCCAAAGAACUGUAGUUUGAGGACUUUUAUUAAAAUAGACACUGUAAAUGUUA